rnacentral:lncRNA from 1 species
CUGUUCUUUAACGAGGUAAUUUACCGAGGGGAGGUCAGGAGGGGGGAAGUAAAAGAAAACCAGCAGUCUUUCUAACUUCUUUUUAAUUGUUUAACUUUAUUACUGUUGCACCAUUUAUACAAUUACAUAUAAUUUCAAUGCAUCCAUUGUACAUUUUUUUAUUUUUUUAUUUUUUAUUUUUUUUUCCAUUUUCCAAUGAGUGGUGUGUUGGUGUCUGUGACACAGAAUGAAGAGAAACUGGAACUGCAAUGAACGCAGACUUUUUUUUUUUUUCAUUUCCACUGACCAAUAAACAGAACUACAGGUGCACCCAACCACGGACAUGCAUUAACUCGUCAUGAGAAAUCUAGGUAGGCUAAGUACGAUGAGAGAAUGUUUGUUACUCCCAAAAAUUAUCUGGAGAGGAAGAAUGGAGGGUUGGCAUCGAGAUACAUAUGGACAAGCUAAGUGGGCUCCGUCUGAAAGUUGGCAUUCAUCCACAACAUUAAAAAAAUAUCAAAAUAAGAAAGGCUGUAAAUUAAAAAGAAAACACAGAAAAUACUGCUUUCCUAAAGAUCUGAUUGCCUUGUCUUUGUCCUUGGCCUUCUCGUCAUUCACAUUGUAGCCCUUCUUCUUCUUGCUGAGCUUGCCUCCCAUCUUGGAGCUCUGGAAGCAAACAGAAGACAAGACAAAAGGGGUUACUGGCCAGCCGUCAAGGCGCGAGGCUCAGGUGAAGAGCAAGGGGCUUGGUCCCAGGGAUCGCACGCGAAGAAAUGGAUGGCGGAGCACAUUGUGCUACACGUAUUGUAUCACAGUUAAAAAUAAAAACUAAACAUGAGUCAAAAACGUAAAAAUGGCAGUGG